GACGAACGCUGGCGGCGCGCCUAACACAUGCAAGUCGAACGAGCGAGAGAGAGCUUGCUUUCUCAAGCGAGUGGCGAACGGGUGAGUAACGCGUGAGGAACCUGCCUCAAAGAGGGGGACAACAGUUGGAAACGACUGCUAAUACCGCAUAAGCCCACAGCUCGGCAUCGAGCAGAGGGAAAAGGAGCAAUCCGCUUUGAGAUGGCCUCGCGUCCGAUUAGCUAGUUGGUGAGGUAACGGCCCACCAAGGCGACGAUCGGUAGCCGGACUGAGAGGUUGAACGGCCACAUUGGGACUGAGACACGGCCCAGACUCCUACGGGAGGCAGCAGUGGGGAAUAUUGCACAAUGGGGGAAACCCUGAUGCAGCGACGCCGCGUGGAGGAAGAAGGUCUUCGGAUUGUAAACUCCUGUUGUUGAGGAAGAUAAUGACG
rnacentral:rRNA from 1 species